rnacentral:rRNA from 1 species
UACGUAGGGCGCAAGCGUUAUCCGGAAUUAUUGGGCGUAAAGAGCUCGUAGGCGGUUUGUCGCGUCUGCCGUGAAAGUCCGGGGCUUAACUCCGGAUCUGCGGUGGGUACGGGCAGACUUGAGUGAUGUAGGGGAGGCUGGAAUUCCUGGUGUAGCGGUGAAAUGCGCAGAUAUCAGGAGGAACACCGAUGGCGAAGGCAGGUCUCUGGGCAUUAACUGACGCUGAGGAGCGAAAGCAUGGGGAGCGAACAGG